rnacentral:rRNA from 1 species
UACGAAGGGGGCUAGCGUUGCUCGGAAUCACUGGGCGUAAAGGGUGCGUAGGCGGGUCUUUAAGUCAGGGGUGAAAUCCUGGAGCUCAACUCCAGAACUGCCUUUGAUACUGAGGAUCUUGAGUUCGGGAGAGGUGAGUGGAACUGCGAGUGUAGAGGUGAAAUUCGUAGAUAUUCGCAAGAACACCAGUGGCGAAGGCGGCUCACUGGCCCGGUACUGACACUGAGGCACGAAAGCGUGGGGAGCAAACAGG